CCAGAGGCCAUUGCUAUCAGGGUUUGACUAAGCCAUGCGAGUCGAGAGGUGUAAGACCUCGGCAUACUGCUCAGUAACACGUGGUUAACCUGCCCUAAGGUGGAGAAUACUCCCGGGAAACUGGGGCUAAUGCUCCAUAGUGGAUAUGUCCUGGAAUGGCAUAUCCUCGAAAGAUCCGUCGCCUUAGGAUGGGACUGCGUCCGAUUAGGUUGUUGGCGGGGUAACGGCCCACCAAGCCAUUGAUCGGUACGGGUUGUGGGAGCAAGAUCCCGGAGAUGGAUUCUGAGACAUGAAUCCAGGCCCUACGGGGCGCAGCAGGCGCGCAAACUUUACAAUGCGAGCAAUCGUGAUAAGGAAACCCUGAGUGCCUGUCGAUGCAGGCUGUUCAUAUAUCUAAAUCAUAUGUGAAGAAAGGGCAGGGCAAGACCGGUGCCAGCCGCCGCGGUAAUACCGGCUGCUCGAGUGAUGGCCACUAUUACUGGGUUUAAAGCGUCCGUAGCUUGACUGUUAGGUCUCUUGGGAAAUCUUCACGCUCAACGUGAAGGCGUCUAAGAGAUACCGGCAGUCUUGGAACUGGGAGAGGUAAACCGUACUUCGGGGGUAGGAGUGAAAUCUUGUAAUCCUCGAGGGACGACCUAUGGCGAAGGCAGUUUACCAGAACAGCUUCGACAGUGAGGGACGAAAGCUGGGGGAGCAAACGGGAUUAGAUACCCCGGUAGUCCCAGCCGUAAACAAUGUGCGUUAGGUGUGUCGGUAACCACGUGUUACUGAUGCGCCGAAGAGAAAUCGUGAAACGCACCACCUGGGAAGUACGGUCGCAAGGCUGAAACUUAAAGGAAUUGGC
rnacentral:rRNA from 1 species